rnacentral:rRNA from 1 species
UACGUAGGGGGCAAGCGUUGUCCGGAUUUAUUGGGCGUAAAGAGCGUGUAGGCGGCCAGGUAGGUCUGCUGUGAAAACUCGAGGCUCAACCUCGAGACGCCGGUGGAAACCGUAAAGCUAGAGUCCGGAAGAGGAGAGUGGAAUUCCUGGUGUAGCGGUGAAAUGCGCAGAUAUCAGGAAGAACACCCGUGGCGAAGGCGGCUCUCUGGGACGGUACUGACGCUGAGACGCGAAAGCGUGGGGAGCGAACAGG